rnacentral:rRNA from 1 species
GUGGGGAAUAUUGCACAAUGGGCGCAAGCCUGAUGCAGCGACGCCGCGUGAGGGAUGGAGGCCUUCGGGUUGUAAACCUCUUUUAUCGGGGAGCAAGCGUGAGUGAGUUUACCCGUUGAAUAAGCACCGGCUAACUACGUGCCAGCAGCCGCGGUAAUACGUAGGGUGCAAGCGUUAUCCGGAAUUAUUGGGCGUAAAGGGCUCGUAGGCGGUUCGUCGCGUCCGGUGUGAAAGUCCAUCGCUUAACGGUGGAUCCGCGCCGGGUACGGGCGGGCUUGAGUGCGGUAGGGGAGACUGGAAUUCCCGGUGUAACGGUGGAAUGUGUAGAUAUCGGGAAGAACACCAAUGGCGAAGGCAGGUCUCUGGGCCGUUACUGACGCUGAGGAGCGAAAGCGUGGGGAGCGAACAGGAUUAGAAACCCGAGUAGUCC